AUCAAUUUAGUUUAAUAAAAAUUUUAUUUUGUGAUAAUAAAGAUUCAUCAGAAAUUGGUA
rnacentral:tRNA from 1 species